GCGCAGCAGUCGCGAAAACUUCACACUGUGCGAAAGCACGAUGAGGGAAUCCCAAGUGCUUGCACGUAAGUGUAAGCUGUUUCUCUGUUUAAAACGCAGAGAGAGUAAGGGCUGGGUAAGACGGGUGCCAGCCGCCGCGGUAAUACCUGCAGCUCAAGUGGUGACCGUUAUUAUUGGGCCUAAAACGUCCGUAGCCGGUUUAAUAAAUGCCUGGGUAAAUCGUGUAGCUUAACUAUACGAAUUCCGGGUAGACUGUUAAACUCGAGACCGGGAGAAGUUAGAGGUACUCCUGGGGUAGAGGUGAAAUUCUGUAAUCCUAGGGGGACCACCAGUGGCGAAGGCGUCUAACUAGAACGGGUCUGACGGUGAGGGACGAAGCCCUGGGGCGCAAACGGGAUUAGAUACCCCCGUAGU
rnacentral:rRNA from 1 species